rnacentral:rRNA from 1 species
AACGAACGCUGGCGGCAGGCCUAACACAUGCAAGUCGAACGGGAUCUUCGGAUCUAGUGGCGGACGGGUGAGUAACGCGUGGGAACGUGCCCUUUGGUUCGGAAUAGCCCCGGGAAACUGGGAGUAAUACCGGAUAAGCCCUACGGGGGAAAGAUUUAUCGCCAAAGGAUCGGCGCGCGUUGGAUUAGGUAGUUGGUGAGGUAAUGGCUCACCAAGCCGACGAUCCAUAGCUGGUUUGCGGGGAUGAUCAGCCACACCGGGACUGCGACACGGCCCAGACGCCUACGGGAGGCAGCAGUGGGGAAGCUUAGACAAUGGGGGAAACCCUGAUCUAGCCAUGCCGCGUGGGUGAUGAAGGCCUUAGGGUUGUAAAGAUCUUUCAGUGGGGAAGAUAAUGACUGUACCCACAGAAGAAGCCCCGGCUAACUCCGUGCCAGCCGCCGCGGUAA